AGUCCAAUCAGAGAUAGAGAAAUAUGAGGUCACUGUUACAACCGAUAAGAAUUAUCGUAAGAAAAGUAUGUUACGCGAUUGACCAAUAGAUUAGACCGAGAGUUGCCGGCGUGUUUACCGCGAGAAGGUGUGAGAGAUACACUCUGCUCUGAAAUUUAAUCAAAAUGCCUAUUAAAUGUGGUCCCGUUGUGGAAGUUCAAGGCGAUGAAAUGACAAGAAUUAUUUGGGAAUUAAUCAAAGAAAAGUUGAUUUUCCCUCAUGUAGAAAUGGAGCUGCAUUCAUUUGAUUUAAGUAUUCAAAACAGGGAUGCGA